GACUAUUUUUAACAGCGGCUCUGUCAACUCUUUCCGUUACUAAACAGUUCGCUCAGCAAAUGGGUGGUACGUUUCGAUAGUUUCGUGUUGCUUUGCCUUUAUGAAGAAGUUAUCCACUCGUAUUUAUUCGACGUGACUGUUAUUGGAGGUGAACGUGAGGGGACCGUUUUGUGCUACAAUGGCCCCGACGAUUCAGACGCAAGCACAGCGCGAGGACGGCCACAGUCGGCCAUCAUCACACAGAACUGUCCCAGAGAGGUCGGGUGUGGUCUGUCGGGUGAAAUACUGCAACAGCCUGCCGGACAUCCCGUUUGACCCCAAAUUCAUCACAUACCCAUUCGAUCAACACAGGUUUGUACAGUACAAAGCUACUUCACUGGAGAAGCAGCACAAACACGAGCUCCUCACCGAGCCGGACCUCGGCGUCACUAUCGAUCUCAUCAACCCAGACACGUACCGCAUAGACCCCAACAUCAUCUUGGAUCCAGCUGAUGAAAAACUGUUAGAAGAGGACAUCCAAGCUCCGUCCAGCUCCAAGAGAUCCCAGCAGCACGCCAAGGUGGUGCCGUGGAUGAGAAAGACGGAAUAUAUUUCCACUGAGUUCAACAGAUACGGUGUCUCCAACGAGAAAGUGGAAGUCAAGAUCGGCGUGUCUGUCAAACAACAGUUCACAGAAGAGGAAAUCUACAAGGACAGAGACAGCCAAAUCUCUGCCAUCGAAAAGACCUUUGAAGAUGCACAGAAACCGAUUGUGCAGCACUACAGCAAACCCCGAGUUACUCCGGUGGAGGUUUUGCCCGCCUUCCCAGAUUUCAAGAUGUGGAUCAACCCGUGCGCUCAGGUCAUCUUCGAUUCGGAUCCUGCUCCAAAAGACAUGUCGGGCCCAGCAGGCGUGGAAAUGAUGUCCCAAGCCAUGAUCAGAGGCAUGAUGGACGAGGAAGGAAACCAGUUUGUGGCCUACUUCCUGCCCAACGAGGACACGCUUCGCAAGCGUAAACGGGACUGCGAUGAGGGGCUGGACUACAUGCCGGACGACCUCUACGAUUACAAGAUUGCCAGGGAGUACAACUGGAACGUGAAGAACAAAGCCAGCAAAGGCUACGAGGAGAACUACUUCUUCAUCUUCAGAGAUGGAGACGGGGUUUACUACAAUGAGCUGGAAACAAGAGUGCGUCUGAGCAAGAGGCGAGCCAAGGCGGGCGCCCAGUCCACCACAAACGCCGUGCUGGUUUGUAAGCACCGAGAUAUGAACGAGAAGGAGCUGGAGGCCCAGGAAGCCAGAAAAGCUCAGCUGGAGAACCAUGAGCCUGAGGAUGAAGAGGAAGACCUGGACCUGGACAUGGACAUGGACAUGGACAAAGACUCCGGAGGUGAUAAAGAGAGAGGCAGUGGCAGCGAGGCCGAGAACUCCGUCAGCGAUUCUGACAGGGACGACGAAGAGACCGAGAAACGGGCGCGAGAGGUCGACGACGACGGAGAGCGAGACAGAGCCAAGAUUAGCGGCAAGAACAAGAGGAGGCUGUCAAGCGACAGCGAGAGCGGUGAAGACCGCGCCCGCGAGAUGCGAGACGAGGAGGAGAUCUUCGGGAGUGACGACGACGACAGCGACAACGGGCCCAAAAGGAGCAGCGGCGAGGAGGGUAGCGACGAUGACGACGAGGGAGGAAGAGGAGGUAGCAGGAGUCGCAGCGCCUCUCCGGCUCACAGCGAGCGCAGCAGCGACCACUCAGAGGCUCAGGCGCAGAGCGGCAGCGCCAGCGAGAGGGUGUCUGAAUCCAGUGACGCCAGUGACUCUGAAUAAUUGUACUGUCGUCAUCAUUAUACAGAAGCCUGCUAGUACUUUUGGACUGGAGUCAUCUCGAUUUUUCAUCAUCGGUAGCUGUCGCCCUGUUGUGAUGCAGACAUCAUUCUUGUUGAUUUUGUUUUUGAAGCAGCCAGUACACAAAACAAUGAAAAACUGUGUACCCUUCAUUUUUUGUUAACAUUAUGUAAUGGCUUUAAAAACAUUAACCGUCAAGCAAAUUGUUUGAAAAAUUUGCUUGACGAAUUUGUUUUUAAAUUCAUCUGUUUUACAAUAAAAAUGUAAAAUGUAUUGUGCGUGAACAUUUUGCUCCUGUAGGUAAGGCAUAUGCUAAAAGAAAGGCAAAUAAGAUGUGAAUGAACAUAAAAGACAGUUUAUCUUCUUCAAUUAGAGUUAACUUACAAAACACCUGGACUUGCAGUCUGAAGCAUUCACUAUGACAACCAAACAAACCAUUUCCAAACAACUGUUAUGUAAAGUAUCGAUCCAUACUGUAUUCUGAAACCGCUUGAUCCUCACACGGGUCGCUGGCGUGCCUGAGUCAAUGCGAGCUAGCACUCAUGAUCACACCUCGGCAAUGUUCCCUCUAAACUUCGCACUGGUCACACACUGUACACAAGAAAACCUACCUAGCGCAGUGAACACACUGCAAAUGAGAUAAAGAUGUAUUUUUUUCCUUUCACUUUUUUUUCCUUUCUUGUUGCCCUGGUGACAGGUUUGUACAGAACAAAGCUACGUCACUGGAGAAGCAGCACAAACACAAGCUCCUCGACAUGUAAAUGUGCUAGUGUGUUUGAGGAAGGCUGCCCUAUACAAACCAAAAGUUGGAAAAAUAAAAGUAUAAAACACUUGAAAGGUAAAAGUGUUUGCUUACAUGCAGACUUUUUCCCUUUCUGAUUGAAAUAAAAAUUUAUCUAUUUAUAUUAAUACAAAACAAGGGGUAGAACUAGAUAAAUUUGUUACUUCUUCCUACUCCUUUGAACAUAUGCUGUAUGAUGACUGUUUUCUUUUUUACACUUUUACUUACCUUCACUUUCUGCCAAUUUAUUACUGUAUAUUUUUAUAUGUUCAAGUAACAAUAAACGAACAAACAAACGAAUACUA